GGCGAGUCUUGGGUGGCGCACCCAGGAAUCGGGCUCCCUCCUCUCUGGUUCCGGAUGCAUCACCCAAGAACUGCA
rfam:Myotis lucifugus cont2.42642, whole genome shotgun sequence.